GCCACGAUAGCUCAAAGGCAGAGCAAAAAUAGAGCUUAACUGCCCUGUAAGCAGUAGGUUGAGGGUUCAAUUCCCUCUCGUGGCU
rnacentral:tRNA from 1 species